rnacentral:piRNA from 1 species
UGGCCAGUUAGUGCGAUUUUCAUGCCA